rnacentral:tRNA from 1 species
GGCCCCAUGGUCAAGAGGUUAAGACACGGCCCUUUCACGGCUGUAACAGGGGUUCGAAUCCCCUUGGGGUCACCA